CUAAAUUGAAGCUCUCUUGUCAGAUAUUUAUUAGUUUAAUUAAUAUAUACCUGUGCUGGAGAGAUAUUCAUCUUUUGUAGAAAAAAAAAUCGACAGCAGAAAGAAAACAGGAUCAGCUGGGGAUAAAGAAUGUAAAUUAACUGAAGUGGAUACUAUGAUUUUAGAAUUAUUAGGUCAUGGUAGCCCAACUGUUAAGAGUUUUCACAUCCCUGAAACUUGGGAAGAAGUAAGAGAAAAAUGUUCGGAUGAAGAGAAAAAUGAAGCGGUCGAGAUUAACCAAUCGAGGGAGCAAAAUGUUCCAACAAUAACAAAUAAAAAAAAAUCUAAAUUGACAUAUCAGGAUAAUGAUGAUGAACUUAAAUUAAAAAAAACAAAAUUACAAGUUGAAAUUUUAGAAAAAGAGAG
rnacentral:lncRNA from 1 species